ACACAUUUUUGAGUGCCCAU
rnacentral:rRNA from 1 species